UACGUAGGGGGCAAGCGUUGUCCGGAUUCAUUGGGCGUAAAGAGCGUGUAGGCGGCCAGGUAGGUCGGUUGUGAAAACUGGAGGCUCAACCUUCAGAGGUCGACCGAAACCAUCUGGCUAGAGUCCGGGAGAGGAGAGUGGAAUUCCUGGUGUAGCGGUGAAAUGCGCAGAUAUCAGGAAGAACACCCGUGGCGAAGGCGGCUCUCUGGAACGCAACUGACGCUGAGACGCGAAAGCGUGGGGAGCAAACGGG
rnacentral:rRNA from 1 species